GGCGGUUCUUGGGUGACACACCCUGGAAUCAGGGUGUGUCACCUGAGAACCGCA
rfam:Myotis davidii contig100549, whole genome shotgun sequence.